AAAAUGUUGUCUUCGCUAUUAACGCUGUCUUCGGCCAUUUCCCGCCUAAAUAGUCGCCCGAAACCUUCACUCCAUUAUGCUUUAUCAUCUUUCAAAACCCCAAAAUCCCACAAGCAACAAAUAAGACCCAAUUGGUCACCUCGCACUUCCUUACUCUAUUCUCUAUCUGCUCAUUUUUCCUCUUCGGAGAAUUCCAGUUCCCCCAUAACCCAGAUGCAAACUAUUGUCUCUAAAGAUGAUUUGGUUGUUCUCGGCAUCGAAACUAGCUGCGAUGAUACCGCAGCCGCUGUUGUAUGCAAUUUAGUUUUUUUGUUCGUUUUUCACCUGGGUAUCUGUAAUUUUCUAAUAAUAUUGAUGGGCUGGUUGUUUUGUGUGGUUUCAGGUGAGAGGUAAUGGUGAAAUUCUGAGUCAGGUGGUGUCUUCUCAGGUAGAUAGUAUAUAUACUGAAGUUCAGCUUGGUAAUUUGUUUCUUUCGCUUGUAGUGCAUGUCAUUAGCUCAUUAUAAGCUUUCACUAAAGGCAGACCUGCUUGAACGAUAUGGAGGCGUUGCUCCUAAAAUGGCAGAAGAAGCACACUUGCAAGUGAUUGAUCAGGUUGUACAGGAAGCGCUUGAUAAAGCUAAUUUAACUGCGAGGGAUCUCUCUGCAGUUGCUGUAACCAUUGGUCCUGGUUUAAGCCUUUGUCUUCGUGGUAAGCUUGAGUAAUUUAUCUUUCUUUUUCUUUUUGAACAAGCCAACAAUAAAUUCUUAUUCCCAAUUUACGGUCUUCUUGACUCUGGUCAAAAGUCCAUUUAGGGGAGAUUUUACUUGUGCUUAAAGAGUCGUAUAUCCAACCUGCAUGCUCAACCUUUACACUCCAUGCAUUAUACAGUGUACAGAUAGACAUAUUUUGCCCAGAAAACAUGUACACACUAACUUUGGACAACUGGGUUUCUUCAUGUUACCAAGACCAGCCAUGUAGCUCAACUUCUUAGCUGUAUUGUAAGGUGUGCGCUGGAUACUUGCCUUUAUAUUAUGGAAAGAAAAAAAAAAAGGGAAGGUUACAUUAACCUGUCUUAAUUCAUGCUACUUUGUGUGUUGAAGUGAAACAUUAUUGUUUAGUGAAAAGUAAAUGCUCCUUUGGGAUUUUUUUUUGUACAUUUGUAAUGCAGUUGGUGUGCAGAAAGCUCAUAAACUUGCCAGCAGCUUCAAUCUACCAAUCAUCAGUAUCCAUCAUAUGGAGGCUCAUGCUCUAGUAGCCAGGUAUGGAAGUAACAAGACCUACAAAUUGCAGAAUAAAGAAUAGCUGCACCCUGGUGUAGAAAAACAUAGAAUAGAAUUCACUAAAAAUAGUACAAAAAGCUUAUUUCUGUAUGUUAUUCUUUAAAAAGGCUGAUAUAUUCUUUCGGCCAUCCUAAGCUAUUGGAUUGAUGUGUUAUUUAAAAUGCUUAUCUGUGUCUGUGCAUACCUUUCUUGUUCUAGGUUAAUUGAACAAGAGUUGCAUUUUCCUUUUAUGGCCCUGCUUAUUUCUGGUAAGCAGAUAUGCUUCUGCCUAUUUACAUGUUCUUAUCUUUUAUUUAGCGAGUUAUGCACGUUCAUGAGAGGAUGGUUGAUGUUCAAAGAUUUUACAUUAUCAAACAUAAACAUGAAAGGCUAAAACAUUGUCAUUCGAAGUCAACGGUGCCUGCAAAAUAGGCCACCUCUGUUCACUUCUUGUAUUUUAACAAGGCAUUAUAUGAAUGACUCAACUAAUUUUAGGAGACAAAAAAUGCCAAUAAAUGAACAUAUUGGCUGGAGAACAUGGAUUCAAGAAACUGUAGUCCUGUGACUUCAAUCAUUUAAAUAUCAAAUAUUGCCUCAAUUCUGAGCAAUCCCUUGUUUGCGUACUUAUGUCAGCAUUGUAAUAUAUAUUUUGAAGACAAACUUAAUGCUGCAAACCAAAUUUAACUUGAUGGUACUUUAGUUAGGUUUCCAUCUCCCUUACCCUCCUGAGGGUUUAGGUUCUUCUUGCUGCACAUGUUUUGAAAAUUUCACUUUGCCUUUGAUUCUCAGGAGGACACAAUCUGCUUAUUCUGGCUCGUGAACUUGGCCAAUAUAUACAACUGGGGACUACUAUAGAUGAUGCAAUUGGUGAGGCAUAUGACAAGACAGCAAAAUGGCUUGGUCUAGAUAUGAGGAGAAGUGGUGGGCCAGCACUUGAGGAACUUGCUCAAGUGGGUGAUGCAGAAUCAAUCAAAUUUUCGACUCCAAUGAAACAACAUAAAGAUUGCAAUUUCUCGUAUGCUGGACUGAAGACUCAAGUGAGACUGGCAAUUGAAUCCAGAAAUAU
rnacentral:misc_RNA from 1 species